AUUGAGCGCUGGCGGCAGGCCUAACACAUGCAAGUCGAGCGGAUGAAGGGAGCUUGCUCCUGGAUUCAGCGGCGGACGGGUGAGUAAUGCCUAGGAAUCUGCCUGGUAGUGGGGGAUAACGUCCGGAAACGGGCGCUAAUACCGCAUACGUCCUGAGGGAGAAAGUGGGGGAUCUUCGGACCUCACGCUAUCAGAUGAGCCUAGGUCGGAUUAGCUAGUUGGUGGGGUAAAGGCCUACCAAGGCGACGAUCCGUAACUGGUCUGAGAGGAUGAUCAGUCACACUGGAACUGAGACACGGUCCAGACUCCUACGGGAGGCAGCAGUGGGGAAUAUUGGACAAUGGGCGAAAGCCUGAUCCAGCCAUGCCGCGUGUGUGAAGAAGAUCUUCGGAUUGUAAAGCACUUUAAGUUGGGAGGAAGGGCAGUAAGUUAAUACCUUGCUGUUUUGACGUUACCAACAGAAUAAGCACCGGCUAACUUCGUG
rnacentral:rRNA from 1 species